rnacentral:rRNA from 1 species
UACGUAGGGUGCGAGCGUUAAUCGGAAUUACUGGGCGUAAAGCGUGCGCAGGCGGCUUCGCAAGUCAGGCGUGAAAUCCCCGGGCUUAACCUGGGAAUGGCGUCUGAAACUACGGAGCUGGAGUGUGGCAGAGGGAGGUAGAAUUCCACGUGUAGCGGUGAAAUGCGUAGAUAUGUGGAGGAAUACCGAUGGCGAAGGCAGCCUCCUGGGCCAACACUGACGCUCAUGCACGAGAGCGUGGGGAGCAAACAGG